GGACUACCCGCUGAGUUUAAGCAUAUAAAUAAGCGGAGGAGAAGAAACUUACGAGGAUUCCCCUAGUAACGGCGAGCGAACCGGGAGCAGCCCAGCUUGAGAAUCGGGCGGCCUCGCCGCCCGAAUUGUAGUCUGGAGAGGCGUCCUCAGCGACGGACCGGGCCCAAGUUCUCUGGAAAGGGACGCCUGGGAGGGUGAGAGCCCCGUCCGGCCCGGACCCUGUCGCACCACGAGGCGCCGUCAACGAGUCGGGUUGUUUGGGAAUGCAGCCCAAAUCGGGCGGUAAACUCCGUCCAAGGCUAAAUACAGGCGAGAGACCGAUAG
rnacentral:rRNA from 1 species